rnacentral:rRNA from 1 species
CAGGCUUAACACAUGCAAGUCGAGGGGCAUCAGGAAGAAAGCUUGCUUUCUUUGCUGGCGACCGGCGCACGGGUGAGUAACACGUAUCCAACCUGCCCUUUACUCGGGGAUAGCCUUUCGAAAGAAAGAUUAAUACCCGAUGGCAUAAUGAUUCCGCAUGGUUUCAUUAUUAAAGGAUUCCGGUAAAGGAUGGGGAUGCGUUCCAUUAGGUUGUUGGUGAGGUAACGGCUCACCAAGCCUUCGAUGGAUAGGGGUUCUGAGAGGAAGGUCCCCCACAUUGGAACUGAGACACGGUCCAAACUCCUACGGGAGGCAGCAGUGAGGAAUAUUGGUCAAUGGGCGCUAGCCUGAACCAGCCAAGUAGCGUGAAGGAUGAAGGCUCUAUGGGUCGUAAACUUCUUUUAUAUAAGAAUAAAGUGCAGUAUGUAUACUGUUUUGUAUGUAUUAUAUGAAUAAGGAUCGGCUAACUCCGUGCCAGCAGCCGCGGUAAUACGGAGGAUCCGAGCGUUAUCCGGAUUUAUUGGGUUUAAAGGGAGCGUAGGUGGACUGGUAAGUCAGUUGUGAAAGUUUGCGGCUCAACCGUAAAAUUGCAGUUGAUACUGUCAGUCUUGAGUACAGUAGAGGUGGGCGGAAUUCGUGGUGUAGCGGUGAAAUGCUUAGAUAUCACGAAGACCUCCGAUUGCGAAGGCAGCUCACUGGACUGCAACUGACACUGAUGCUCGAAAGUGUGGGUAUCAAACAGGAUUAGAUACCCUGGUAGUCCACACAGUAAACGAUGAAUACUCGCUGUUUGCGAUAUACAGUAAGCGGCCAAGCGAAAGCAUUAAGUAUUCCACCUGGGGAGUACGCCGGCAACGGUGAAACUCAAAGGAAUUGACGGGGGCCCGCACAAGCGGAGGAACAUGUGGUUUAAUUCGAUGAUACGCGAGGAACCUUACCCGGGCUUAAAUUGCAGUGGAAUGAUGUGGAAACAUGUCAGUGAGCAAUCACCGCUGUGAAGGUGCUGCAUGGUUGUCGUCAGCUCGUGCCGUGAGGUGUCGGCUUAAGUGCCAUAACGAGCGCAACCCUUAUCUUUAGUUACUAACAGGUUAUGCUGAGGACUCUAGAGAGACUGCCGUCGUAAGAUGUGAGGAAGGUGGGGAUGACGUCAAAUCAGCACGGCCCUUACGUCCGGGGCUACACACGUGUUACAAUGGGGGGUACAGAAGGCAGCUAGCGGGUGACCGUAUGCUAAUCCCAAAAGCCUCUCUCAGUUCGGAUCGAAGUCUGCAACCCGACUUCGUGAAGCUGGAUUCGCUAGUAAUCGCGCAUCAGCCACGGCGCGGUGAAUACGUUCCCGGGCCUUGUACACACCGCCCGUCAAGCCAUGGGAGCCGGGGGUACCUGAAGUACGUAACCGCAAGGAUCGUCCUAGGGUAAAACUGGUGACUGGGGCUAAGUCAUAAC